rnacentral:rRNA from 1 species
UACGGGAGGCAGCAGUGAGGAAUAUUGGACAAUGGAGGCAACUCUGAUCCAGCCAUAUGGAGGGUGUGAAGAAGCCCCUAGGGUUGUAAAACACUUUAAGUUGGGAAGAAAAGAUAUCGGUUAAUACCCGAUGACCGUGACAUUACCAUCAGAAUAAGGACCGGCUAAUUCCGUGCCAGCAGCCGCGGUAAU